GAAGGAAGCGAGGUCGAUCCAAAGCAGCACAGUUCACUCUGAAGUUUUUUAUGACUGACUCUAUGAACAGAGCACAUGAUUUAUAUGGAUAAGAAGUCUGCAAUUGGCCACACCUGAGGCAUGUGGCAGUUCCCAGCCAUCAUCACAGCAACUUAGAAUCCAAGCCCUCUCUGCAAACUACACCAGAGCUCAUAGCAACGCUGGAUCCUUAACCCACUGAGUGAGGCCAGUGAUUGAACCUGCAUCCUCAUGGAUAACCAGGUGGCUCUGUGAUCUAGUUCUGGGUACACUGAGACAUGAGCUGAAGUCUACUAGAAGUUUUUGCUUCAGUGAUACAGGUGCUCCUCCUUUCUGGCUCAACCUUCCCCCUAUAUGGAAGGUGGAUGUGAUGGCAGGAGCUAUUAUAGCUCUCUUAGAACCAUGAGGAAAAGGCUAAGAAAAUUUUAAAGAGCCUCCAGCCUUGACAGCCUGAACCUUUAUCAGUGAUCGCCUAUUUCUGGACUUCUUCACACAGGAGAAAAAUAAAGCUUUAUGUGUUUAGAUAAAUGUCAUCAGGAGUCUUUACUCACAGGGGAAUGCAACUCCUCACUAUUAGAGUAGGAAUUUGAAUUUAGGUUCUCAGUUUCCAGCUCUGUAAAUCUUGCUAUUACCUCUUUUAGAUUAUGGUGUAUGCUAAUCCUAGACUAUAAACUUGACUCGUUCCUAGUCCUAGUACCCAUGAAAAUAACAUUCAACAUCAAGUCUUAGAGCAUGAAAAAAAGGGUAGUGUCACAUCUUGAAUUUUAAUUGGUUACCUCUAUAACCUUUAGCAACAAAACUGAGUAGCCAAAGGCUGUUUUUAGCAUUUCUCACCACUUUUUUUUUUUUCCUUAUCCAAUGAGCUUAUUUUGCCUCCUGGCACUCUGUAACCUUUGGUAUCUAGCAUUCUACUCCUAUCUAGGCCUGCCCUUUGCUAAGGGCUCUAAGCUCUCAGUUACAUUCUCUUCCACCUCUCCACCACCAAGCAAAGCUGAUGUGAUUAGAGGAGAAAUAUAGACCUGCUGUCAUGGAAGUAAUUUAUGGGGAUGUAAGCAUCAUUUUAAGAAAAUAUUUGCAUUUUGUAAGAGGGACCUGUAAAUCCAGUUGAACCUCUCAAGUUGGAAAGCACUGAAAAAAUCAUUUGCGAGUGAGAGGUUGCUCUGGUAUUCCUCAUCUAAUCCAAGCAGCCACUCUUAUCGCCAGCUCAGCCCCUUUAACUUCUUCCUCAUAUACCCUCCACCCUCAGCCAGCACAGGCAGCAACACAGCACCAAGCAGGGGUUUGGUGCUCAGUUUGAAGACCUUCCUAGUCCUAGAAUUAGAAGAACCUGAAAAAGAAUGGAUGUGGGUAUAUGUAUAACUGAAUCACUGUUGUACAGCAGAAAUUAUCAUAAUAUUUUAAAUCAACUAUACUUCAAUAAAGCUUAAAACAGGGAUGGCAAGGAAUGUUUUUUGGUGAUAAUUCUAUACAUUUAAAAAAUAUUGGAGUUCCCACUGUGGCACAGCAGGUUAAGGAUCCAGUGUUGUCUCCGUGGUGGCUUGGGUUUGAUCCCCAGCCCAGUGCAGUGGAUUAAGGAUCUGGAGUUGCUGCCGCUCUGGUGUAGCUUACAGCUGGGGUUCAUAUUUGAUCCCUGGCCUGGGAAUUUACAUAUGCCGCAGGUACAGCCAAACAAAACAAAACAAAAGCAAAAAAAAAAAAAAAAACCAAAACAAAAAGACAAAAAUAUCUACAUUAGUAGAUAUUUUAACUAUUAAUAUAAAUUGGGCAAUUAAGUUUUUCAUGUUUUAAUGUUUCUUUGACAUCCUGUAAAUCCUGUAAUAAAUAUUCUUCC
rnacentral:lncRNA from 1 species